UAUCCUACGGGAGGCAGCAGUGGGGAAUAUUGCACAAUGGGGGGAACCCUGAUGCAGCAAUGCCGCGUGGGUGAAGAAGCACUCCGGUGCGUAAAGCCCUGUCAGCAGGGAAGAAAAUGACAGUACCUGGACAAGAAGCCCCGGCUAACUACGUGCCAGCAGCCGCGGUAAUACGUAGGGGGCAAGCGUUAUCCGGAUUUACUGGGUGUAAAGGGAGCGCAGGCGGCGUGGCAAGUCAGAUGUGAAAACCCGGGGCUCAACCCCGGGACUGCAUUGGAAACUGCCGGGCUGGAGUGUCGGAGGGG
rnacentral:rRNA from 1 species